UAUAUGGAAUUCCAAGGAUCCAAUUCCAAUCCACAACCAUAAACUUUACAGAAAUGAUUCUCUUUUAAACAAACGGAAGGCACAAACUUUGCAAACCGUUAAAAAAACUAAUGAGAACGUUAAACUCACAAUAACAUCAUAAACUGUAAGCAGAUCUAGAAUGUCAACACUCCUGCAUAUUCCAUUAAUAAAUAAAUAAAAACUUGCAUCAAUCUGCAACUCUGCUUGACCAGGCACAUCCAUUUACGUAGCUGAGAACU
rnacentral:lncRNA from 1 species